CGGGGCGUAGCGCAGUCUGGUAGCGCACCUGCUUUGGGAGCAGGGGGUCGCUGGUUCGAAUCCAGUCGCCCCGACCA
rnacentral:tRNA from 3 species